rnacentral:lncRNA from 1 species
GUUUACAGUUUAUCUUCAUCUAUAAUAAUAUUCAAGAUAAUGACCAAAAACUGCAAAAUUUCCUUAAAAUUACCAAUUAAGUGGCAGCAACCCAACAAUGGUUUGUUUGAUUCAUCUGAAAAUUUCUGGGCUGAUAGAUCUUGACCUAAUGAACAUUAUUACCUCAUGUCAGAUUUGCUCUAAAUGCUUCCGUUUUUGAGAUAUAAGCCAAAAACUGCAUUUGACCCCUAUGUUCUAUUUUAAGUAACGGCGGCCAUGUUUUUUGACGGAUCAAAAAUUGAAGCACACACUUUGUGCAGGAUAAUCUAAGGAACUAUCAUGCUAAGUUUCAUUUAAAUCCAUUUAGUAGUUUCAGAGGAGAAGAUGUUUGAAAAAUUGUUAACGACGACGACG